UUCGAGUUGGUGCUCGUUCGGACGACGUUCUGCCCUAUCAGCUUCGAUGGUUGUGUAGUGGACAACCAUGGCUGUAACAGGUAACGGAGAAUCAGGGUUCGAUUCCGGAGAGGGAGCCUGAGAAACGGCUACCACGAUUAAGAUCGGCAGCAGGCGCGCAAAUUGCCCAAUACCAAUACCGGUGAGGCAGCGACGAAAAAUAACAACUCUGCAUGACAAAUGUUGUGUGGAGAUUGUAAUGGAUGAUACCCAAACCCAUCAGUGAGCAUCCGUUGGAGGGCAAGUCUGGUGCCAGCAGCCGCGGUAAUUCCAGCUCCAAUAGCGUAUACUAAUGUUGCUGCUGUUAAAACGCUCGUAGUUGGACUCAGAGAUGGAGGUUGCAGUGAGGCCCUCUGCGGCUGGAGCUGUUGCGCCCCCGGGUGUGACGAUCCAACCGCAUUGCGGAACAAACCCACUGCGUUCGACCUUCACUCUUCACACGCGGAACCAUUGGGGCUGUGGAAACCUCCUUGAUUGGUGGUAGAAGCGCUUCCGCAUUCAACACAUGCAUAUGCCCCUGUCCGUGGAGGUUACUGUGAACAAAACAGCGUGUCCAAAGCAACCACAUGUCUGGCUGAAUGAUCUAGCAUGGAAUAACAAGGCAUCGACCACUGGAGUCAGCCUUUUUGUUGGUUUUACAUGACCCAGUUGGGCAAUGCAGGGCUUGUGCUUCAUUGAGGUUCUUAGUCAGCUCUACCGAACUGUCUUCCCUCAGUUGGACCUUGUUCCCUAUCGGGAUCAAUGGAAGCCAUCGGGGUGGUAUGUAUUCCGACGUGAGCGGUGAAAUGCUUAGACCGUUGGAAGACAAACGACAGCGAAGGCAUUCCGCCAGAAUGUUUACAUUAAUCAAGAACGAGAGUGUGGGGAUCGAAGAUGAUCAGAUACCAUCGUAGUCCAUUACCGUAAACUAUGCCAACUCGGCAUUGGGAGUCUGUUCACUUUGAAGACUCUCCCAGCAUCAUCCCCCAAUAACGAGAAAUCCAAGUCUAUGGGUUCAGGGGGGAGUACAGUCGCAAGGCUGAAACUUAAAGGAAUUGACGGAAUGACACCACAAGGCGUGGAGUAUGCGGCUUAAUUUGACCCAACACGGGGAAGCUUACCAGGUCAGACAUAGUAAGGAUUGACAGAUUGAGAGCUCUUUCUUGAUCCUAUGGAUGGUGGUGCAUGGCCGUUUCUGGUUCGUGGAGUGAUCUGUCUGCUUAAUUGCGAUAACGAACGAGAUCUCUACCUCUAAAUAGGCGCCGGUCUCGCAUGUAAGUAGGGAUGUGUUGGGGGCCUUCGUGUCCCCUCAUGUCCUGAGAGUGCCAGGAUCGCUUCUUAGACGGACUGUGCAUGUCUUUAAUGCACGGAAGAGGGAGUCAAUAGCAGGUCUGUGAUGCUCCUAGAUGUUCUGGGCUGCACGCGCACUACACUGGCACAGUAAACGAGUUGCACCUGCUUCGGCAGUCCUGCUUAGAAGUGAGCGUGGGAAAUCUUAGAAAACUGUGCCGUGCUGGGGAUAGAUGAUUGCGAUUAUUUGUCUUGAACGAGGAAUGCCUAGUAGAGGUACUUCAUCAGAGUACCUUGAUUGUGUCCCUGCCAUUUGUACACACCGCCCGUCGUUGCUACCGAUUGGCUGUAAAAUAGAGGCCUUAAGAGUCGCUUCCGCAAAGC
rnacentral:rRNA from 1 species